ACGGAGGGUGCAAGCGUUAAUCGGAAUUACUGGGCGUAAAGCGCGCGUAGGCGGUUUUUUAAGUCGGAUGUGAAAGCCCCGGGCUCAACCUGGGAAUUGCAUCCGAUACUGGAUAACUAGAAUGCGGGAGAGGGAGGUAGAAUUCCAUGUGUAGCAGUGAAAUGCGUAGAUAUAUGGAGGAAUACCAGUGGCGAAGGCGGCCUCCUGGCUCGACAUUGACGCUGAGGUGCGAAAGCGUGGGGAGCAAACGGG
rnacentral:rRNA from 1 species